GCCAGGUGUGGUGGCGCACACCUGUAAUCCCAGCAGCUCGGGAGGCUGAGGGAAGAGGAUCACGAGUUCAAAGCCAGCCUCAGCAGCUUAGUGAGGCCCUAAGCAACUCAGUGGGACCCUGUCUCCA
rnacentral:sRNA from 1 species